CCUACGGGAGGCAGCAGUAGGGAAUCUUCCACAAUGGGCGAAAGCCUGAUGGAGCAACGCCGCGUGGGUGAAGAAGGUCUUCGGAUCGUAAAACCCUGUUGUUAGAGAAGAAAGUGCGUGAGAGUAACUGUUCACGUUUCGACGGUAUCUAACCAGAAAGCCACGGCUAACUACGUGCUAGCAGCCGCGGUAAUAAGUAGGUGGCAAGCGUUAUCCGGAUUUAUUGGGCGUAAGGGGAACGCAGGCGGUCUUUUAGGUCUGAUGUGAAAGCCUUCGGCUUAACCGGAGUAGUGCAUUGGAAUCUGAGAGACUUGAGUGCAUAAGAGGAGAGUGGAACCCAAUGUGUAGCGGUGA
rnacentral:rRNA from 1 species